rnacentral:rRNA from 1 species
GUGGGGAAUUUUGGACAAUGGGCGAAAGCCUGAUCCAGCCAUGCCGCGUGCAGGAUGAAGGCCUUCGGGUUGUAAACUGCUUUUGUACGGAACGAAAAGACUCCUUCUAAUAAAGGGGGUCCAUGACGGUACCGUAAGAAUAAGCACCGGCUAACUACGUGCCAGCAGCCGCGGUAAUACGUAGGGUGCAAGCGUUAAUCGGAAUUACUGGGCGUAAGGCGUGCGCAGGCGGUUAUAUAAGACAGAUGUGAAAUCCCCGGGCUCAACCUGGGAACUGCAUUUGUGACUGUAUAGCUAGAGUACGGUAGAGGGGGAUGGAAUUCCGCGUGUAGCAGUGAAAUGCGUAGAUAUGCGGAGGAACACCGAUGGCGAAGGCAAUCCCCUGGACCUGUACUGACGCUCAUGCACGAAAGCGUGGGGAGCAAACAGGAUUAGAAACCCCGGUAGUCC